AGACAGAGGGAGAGAGAGAGACAUGUAGCUCCUAUCACCAGACAUCACAGAGAGAGAGAGACAUGUAGCUCCUAUCACCAGACAUCACAGAGGGAGAGAGACAUGUAGCUCCUAUCACCAGACAUCACAGAGGGAGAGAGACAUGUAGCUCCUAUCACCAGACAUCACAGAGGGAGAGAGACCAAACAAUUAAACGGACGGACACACAACUAGUCUUUCUUUGUCCAAAUCAGAUGACCUCAUCUCCUUUCCCUCUCAGCUGCUGAUCUGACAUCGUUGAAGAGCCAAAAGGAAAGCGACAUGACAGAUGAGUGUCUUACUGUACCAGACAUACAGGAGAGAGCUGACAGAGGAAGGAGUGUCUUACUGUACCAGACAUACAGGAGAGAGCUGACAGAGGAAGGAUGUUAGGACACUGCUAGCUAGCGACAGGCUCGUACUCGACUCCCUUCUAGAGAAAAAAAUUGAAAGAAAUAAAUAAUUGGCUCAUUUAAGAUUAUUUUGGUUCCCGCCUGCAUCCUCGUUUCCCCCCGGACCAUUCAUUAAGACGGACAACAACACACCCACCAUGAGGGACUUCCAGCACCUUGAUGACGAACUAAGAAAAAUAAUAUUCAACCCUCCCCCCCCAAAAAAAGAGGGGAAAACCCUGGAAUUGUAUAUUUUCCUGUGAAGUACUUCAUUGGUUGUGAUGUGAAAUCAAGAUACGAUAAAAACCAUAAACAAAUCUAAAGUAUU